AACAACAACAACAACCACAACAACAACAACCACCACAACUACAAUAAGGAAGCCUUAGUCCCAAAUGAUUUUGGGUUGGCUAACAUGCAUUCUCAGAGCAUAGCAAGACAAUUGAUUUGGUGUACUCUGGCUCCAUGACUUGAUGAUGCUGUUUAUCAUGUGUAGGAGUUGAUAUGUUUUCUAUUCUUUCAUUUUAAUGCGUGGGGGAAAGCAGAUGUUCAAGUGCAUUUCAACGUCAUGGCAUGUCCAAGCUAUUCAAUUCUGAGCACAUUAUUAUGUCAUGGAAUGGGAUUUAGGUUCAAUGCUCAUCUUGACAUGGUACAAAUACACUUGGAUGAGAAAUGAUCUUGCAAAGUUUAAUUCAAUUAACACUGUCUCUUCCUCACUUCACAUAUGAACGUUUCCUCAAAUGUCCAGUAAAAAAUGUGGGGGCAAGCUGAUGUUCAUUUGUACUUCAACCAUUCAACAUCAUGCCAUGUAGUCCAAGCUCUUCAAUCUGAGUACAUCAUUAUGUCUCUGCAUGGCGCUUAAGGUUCAGUGUUCAUCUUUACUUGGUACAGAUACAUUUGGUACUAUCUCUUCCUCACUGUGAACAUAUCUUGAAAGCAAGUGAUCUUAAAUUGUUUCCUGCACUUUUCUUUUAUUUAUUCUUGCUUAGAUAACAGCCGUACUUUUUAUGUUUUGUUAUUUUAUUUUAUUGUUCUCCAUCUUGUGAACACCUAUGAUGAAAGUGUGAGAAAGGAAGAUAGAGGAUAGUAGGGUAUC